rnacentral:rRNA from 1 species
UACGUAGGGGGCAAGCGUUGUCCGGAUUUAUUGGGCGUAAAGAGCGUGUAGGCGGCCAGACAGGUCUGCUGUGAAAACUCGAGGCUCAACCUCGAGACGCCGGUGGAAACCGUUUGGCUAGAGUCCGGAAGAGGAGAGUGGAAUUCCUGGUGUAGCGGUGAAAUGCGCAGAUAUCGUAAGGAAGACCAGUGGCGAAGGCGGGUCUCUGGACAGUUCCUGACGCUGAGGCACGAAGGUCAGGGGAGCAAACGGG